rnacentral:rRNA from 1 species
AUUGAACGCUGGCGGCAGGCCUAACACAUGCAAGUCGAACGGUAACAGGAAACAGCUUGCUGUUUCGCUGACGAGUGGCGGACGGGUGAGUAAUGUCUGGGAAACUGCCUGAUGGAGGGGGAUAACUACUGGAAACGGUAGCUAAUACCGCAUAACGUCGCAAGACCAAAGAGGGGGACCCUCGGGCCUCUUGCCAUCGGAUGUGCCCAGAUGGGAUUAGCUUGUUGGUGGGGUAACGGCUCACCAAGGCGACGAUCCCUAGCUGGUCUGAGAGGAUGACCAGCCACACUGGAACUGAGACACGGUCCAGACUCCUACGGGAGGCAGCAGUGGGGAAUAUUGCACAAUGGGCGCAAGCCUGAUGCAGCCAUGCCGCGUGUAUGAAGAAGGCCUUCGGGUUGUAAAGUACUUUCAGCGGGGAGGAAGGGAGUAAAGUUAAUACCUGUGCUCAUUGACGUUACCCGCAGAAGAAGCACCGGCUAACUCCGU